GUUGGGGGGAGGCGCAGAGAGCCUCUCAGGUUUGCUGGUGUCUGGCUUAGUCCAAGGGGGGGUUCAAGGGUCUUGUACCCCCACCUCAGCUGGGACCCCAAACCUCCUCAGCUCACCUCUCUCUCUCCCACGAGCCCUUCCACUAAGAAUGGCUAUGGAGCAGGGUUCAGGACCUUCGCAGGUGCUGCAGCCCAGCCAGGAUAUGGAAACGGGCUGGGAGCAGCGGCCUUCCCAGUGGCCGGAGCCCAGUCAGGAUUGGGGAGCAGAAGUGGUUUGGGCGCUGGCACUCUUCCAGGGGCAGGAACCCCACCAGGUGAGGGUGGCUGGGCAGGGGCCGCAGGGAGGGGCGGGCAGGAGGGUUUAGGGUCCCAACCCUCAUUCUUAGGGGAGGAGCUCUUAGGGUCAAUGUCAGCCUCUUUCUAGCUCUCCCCAGGCCUGGGGAAGAGGGAACCUCAGAAGCGGAUGAAGGGAGGACCCCGCCCGUGUGCCACCUCCAUGCCACACUCACCAUGUCCUGUCCCUCUCUGUCCCCCUCUCGGUCUGUGUUACCCUCCCCAGGCACUCGUCCCUCUGUGGCCUGCCAAUGCCAUUCCUGUGGGUGGGGACUCCUGUGGAGGCCUCUGAGCUGCUUCCUGGGCAUGCGCCCUUAGUGAACUGUCAGGGUGUGGAGCACAGUGGCCCUGGGUGGUGUUUGGACCACGGACCCGCACUCCACAUGGCCUAGGUCCAGCCUCUGCCUCCCUCACCCCACAGGCCCAAAACCAGGUCAGGGAGGGUAGGGUGUUGCGGAGGGCCUGGGCUUGGGUCUGGGGGCUCCAGGGAGCUGCAGCCUCCUUUACCUGGUCUCUCUCUCUAUUCCUGGCAUGGGGCGGGGGGUGAAACCUCUGAAGACAGGUGUGCCUGCCCUUUCCUGUGUCCCUGUCCUCCACUCCCCACAUACACACAUCCGGCCCUGCCUCUGCUUCCUCCUUCUACUCGGUCUCCCAAGAUCUGGUGAUGGGAAUGGGAUGGGAGCUGGGGCCUUCCUAGGAGCUGGAGCCCAGCCAGGUGAGGGCAGCUGGACCACACUGGGAUUCUAGAAGACACAGGGAAGAACCAGGGGAUAUCAGAGGUCCAGAAGGCAGAAAGUUUAUUUCUGGGGGAGGACAGGGGAUGGGUGGGGUCCGUGAGCCCCUGCUCUCCUCUCCCCUAUCUUGACUGUUUCCCCUGCAUCUAUGGCCUUGUCCCACCCUCAAGCCCUCCCCAGAUCCACCCCUCACACACUGCUUCUCCUCCCAGGAUACAACAAUGGAAACGGACCGGGAACCCAGCCAGGUCGGGGCCGAAGGGGCUGGGGUGGCUGGGGGAGAGGUCAGGGGCCCAGGGCCACACUCUGGGUCCCAACAGAUGGGCUCUUGGGGGUUCAUUCAUUCACCCAAUCUCCCCUGAGCACCCGUCCCAAGCCAGGCCUCGGCUGGCCAUGGAGGACACCCAAGCUGGUCAAGGGUGGCCACGGUCUGGACUCCCGGGCCAAGAACCAAAUCCAACUUUGACUGCAGUCAGGCCUGGGAGGGAGUUCACACAAGACAGAAAGGCAGAGGGCAGGGGUCACGCGAGACAGAAAGGGAGAGGGCAGGGCUCCAGGCCCCAGCUCAUCCCCACUGCACCACCUUCCACACUCCUGUGUCUGCCCUCAAACAGGUCCUGCCGCUCAAAAUGGCUUUGGACCAGGUAAAGAGGGUGGGGACGGAAGCGGGGAGCCUGGGGCUGAGAUUCUGGGCACAGGCCCAGAGGAAAGGAUCCCUCACCCUCUCAUCUUCCCCCCAGGCUUUGGAGGGGGUGGAAAACCCCAGAAGCCAGGUGAGCCACUCCCUGUCCCUGUCUCCCUGCCCAUUUCCUAUGCAUCUGCCGCUGCUUCCCUAGAGUCCCUGAUCUCCCCAUUCUCUUUGGCUCUGUCCCCUGGGAUUUGGGAAUAGGAAUGGGUGGGGAGUCGGGGCCUUCCUGGGAGCUGGAACCCAGGCAGGUAAGGCCCUGGAGUUCUGGGAGCAUGGAGGUCUUAGGGGUUGGGGGUUACUGAUGUAGGGGCCUGGCCCUGGUCCUGAGCAGAGAGGAAGGGAUGGGUGGACUCACAGGAAGUCCUUCCCCUUCUCUUCCCAGGCCUGGGAGGGGGACUAAAGGCUCAGAGAGCAGGCGAGCCCCAAUCUCUAGCCUCCCAACUUGGUCUCACACAACAAACCUCAUUCGACAAACCAAUCCAGGCCUGGAGCAGUGGCUAACACCUGUAAUCCCAACAGUUCGGGAGGCAGAGUUAGGUGGAUCAAUUGAGCCCAGGAGUUCAAGACCAGCCUGGGCAACAUUCCCAAGCUGGUCUUGAAAUCUUGGGCUCAAGCAAUCCAUCUACAAAAAAAAAAAACCUAGCCAGUUGUGGUGGCACGUGCCUGUAGUCCCAGCUACUCUGGAGGCUGAGAGGUGAGGAUCACUUGAGCCCAGGAAGUCGAGGUAGUAGUGAGUGGAGAUCUUGCCACUGUACUCCAGCCUGGGUGACAGAGAGAGAUCCUGUUUAAAAAACAGACAGGCCGGGCUCAGUGGCUCACGCCUGUAAUCCCAGCACUUUGGGAGGCUGAGGCGGGUGGAUCACAAGGUCAGGAGAUCAAGACCAUCCCGGCUAACACAGUGAAACGCCGUCUCUACUGAAAAUACAAAAAAAUCAGUCGGGCGUGGUAGUGGGCACCUGUAAUCCCAGCUACUCGGGAGGCUGAGGCAGGAGACUGGCGUGAACCCAGGAGGCGGAGCUUGCAGUGAGCCGAUCGUGCCACUGCACUCCAGCCUGGGUGACAAAGCAAGACUCCGUCUCAAAAACAAACAAACAAACAAACAACAACCAAAGUAAUCCGUGGACCAUGCCUGUUCUGAGCCAACCAGGUGCUGGGGACAGGCCCUCCCCAACCAGGGCCACGCUGGGGCAUACAGUAUGGGCUGAGGCUGCCCCAGAGCUGGGCUCUGGGAGUUCUUAGGAGGCAGUGGAGGCCAGGGAGGAGAGAGUGGCCCAACCCUCUGAGAAACUGAACCAAAAGGAGAGUUUUGAACAAAGAAGGUACAGGCUCCAGCAAGAUCUCAGACCUGGCCAGGCGCAGUGGCUCACGCCUGUAAUCCCAGCACUUUGGGAGGCCUAGGCGGGCGGAUCACUUGAGGUCAGGAGUUCAAAACCAGCCUGGCCAACAUGGUGAAACUCCGUCUCUACUAAAAAUGCUAAAAAUUAGCCAGGCGUGGUGGCGGGCACCUGUAAUCCCAGCUCCUCAGGAGACUGAGGCAGGAGAAUUGCUUGAACCCGGGAGGCGGAGGUUGCAGUGAACCAAGAUCACGCCAUUGCUCUCCAGCCUGGGCAACAAGAGCGAGACUCCAUCUC
rnacentral:lncRNA from 10 species